rnacentral:rRNA from 1 species
AUGGGGAGUAGCCAUUAGAAAUAGUGGAUAAUACCGAAUACGCUCAUGACCCUGUGGGGAUAUGAGGAAAACAGGCUACGGCCUGGCUCGAGGAUGGGCCCGCGUCCCAUUAGCUAGUUGGUGAGGUAACGGCCCACCAAGGCGACGAUGGGUAUCCGGCCUGAGAGGGUGUACGGACACAUUGGGACUGAGAUACGGCCCAAACUCCUACGGGAGGCAGCAGCUAAGAAUAUUCCGCAAUGGACGAAAGUCUGACGGAGCGACGCCGCGUGGAUGAAAGAAGGCCGGAAGGUUGUAAAAUCCUUUUGCUGAUGAAGAAUAAGUGUGGUAGGGAAUGACCGCAUGAUGACAUUAGUCGGUGAAUAAGCCCCGGCUAACUACGUGCCAGCCGCCGC